rnacentral:lncRNA from 1 species
CCAUGUAAGACGUGCCUGCUUCUCCUUCAUCUUCUGCCAUAAUUAUGAAGAAAAGGAGGCUCAGAGAGUUUAAGAAACUUACCCUCCUCACACCAUGGAUAACAGGCAGAGCCAAAAGCAAAUGCAGAUGAAGACGUUGAUGCUCAAAAGUCGCUAAUGAGAAGCUGAGCCAAGAGUCAGAUCCAAAGUCCUUCCAGCUCUGAAGCCUGCAUUGUUUCCAACGCAUGAUGUUGUCUGAAUGGUGAGCAAUGGAAGACAGAAGAUACUAACAUGGUAGAAAUUAUCCUGAGUGGGGAGAGAGAAGGCCCUGGGGUGCUGCGAGUGUCCUGGGCAGGCAGCAGGGAGCCCCUUUAGCCCUGACUAGCUUGGUUGCAUUUCUGAUGGGUUUGACAUCAACAGGCUCUGCUGAGUCCCAAUUUGGCUAGGUACCACCACUUGUAGCACAGGGCAGAUCACUCCAAUGCCUGCAGCAUUCAUUUCUCAAUUUUCAAAUAAAACUAGCUUUGUUUGAAGGACAAAGUGAGAUGAUUUUUGACAGCACUGGGUAGAUGCAAUAACACUUUGC